UACGGGGGGAGCAAGCGUUGUUCGGAUUUACUGGGCGUAAAGGGCGCGUAGGCGGUCAGCACAAGUCAGUUGUGAAAUCUCCGGGCUUAACCCGGAAAGGUCAACUGAUACUGUGCGACUAGAGUGCGGAAGGGGGCAACUGGAAUUCUUGGUGUAGCGGUGAAAUGCGUAGAUAUCAAGAGGAACACCAGUGGCGAAGGCGGCACUCUGGGCCGGUACUGACGCUGAGGAGCGAAAGCGUGGGGAGCGAACAGG
rnacentral:rRNA from 1 species